rnacentral:lncRNA from 1 species
GAUACCUGAUCGUUAUCUUCACUUCAUUCAUCCUCCCAUUAUAUUACCAAACAAAGGUAUUAUAAAGGGAGAGAUGGGCAUCAGUAACCUGGAUGGAGACGAAUUGGUUGAGCUCUAGCCUUGAAUCGGUUCCUCAUGAAGGGGAAGAGGUUACUGAUUAAGAGGUUAGGGGAAGAGGUAUUUCAUUAGCACAAAAAUAGAAUUUUCUAUAACAAUUUUAAGACGCCAGAGUAGGUCUCCUGCUAAUAUACCCAUUUUUUUGUCCCCUGUUCCCAAAUAUGCCCCCCUUAAAACCCUACUGCGUGCAUCAUCUAUAAUACCAUAUGAAGCACAUAUUAUAGAUGAGAGAGAGAAAACACACCGGAGGGACCCCGGUAAUCCAGAUAGGGCUUUUUUGGAUGGGAAUAUGAAGAAUUUGAUCAAUUGAUGUUAAAGGCUCUGUGGUUAUCUCUUCCUCUGAUGGUGUUAGGGUUGUGUGGCGGCAACCGCCGCCCUAGCGACCACAACCGGUCGUGGCUACGGAGGAUCUAGAUGCGAAGGUAAGGGGUUAUGAUUUCCGAAACUGGUGUGGAAAAUAUGGUUGGAAGCCGUUCCUGGGGACUUUUAAAACCCUGUGCUAAGAAACUUAGUGAAUUUGUUGCGGGUGAAAUAUAAUGUCUCGUGCUCGUUUUCCUUUCGCAACAUUUUAUCAGGAUCAAUGAAUUGGAGAACUAAUAACAUCAUCUUUUUACAUUCCCAAUCGCGUAUGCAUACCACAGAUUCACAGGUCAAAUGAAUGGAAUAUGGGUGUUCUGUUUGAAGGGAUCUCAACAGGCUAUCCUUGGAAGGGGUAUUGAUACGCUACAACGGUAUUACUGCUAACAACGUUGUUUCCUGCCCAACAUUCCCUGAGAUUGCAGAUAAGGUUUACGACAUCUUGCAUGGAAGAGUGUGGGCGGGUCACAAUAUAGUGGAAUUUGAUUGUGUGAGGUUAAAAGAUACGUAUGCUCAGAUAAACGGAAAGCCUCCUGUACUCAAGGGAACCAUGGUUACAUUGAAAUUGUUGAUUGAGACGUUUGGGAGGAGAACCGAUAACAUGAAGGCCCAUCUGUAGACAGAAUGGAGACUGUAACUCUUCAGUCAAAUGAAGCUAUGGUGGAAGAAUCAUCUACCACCUAUCUAAUGCUUUCAGCAACGACAAUGAAUUCAUAGACCCUGAUUCAGUUCCAAUAGCUUCAAUAACUGUAACCGUUGCUCCCUUUGUUAACGGGCCCAGAGGAUACAAAUAUUUCACAAAGACAUCCCUAGGCAGAGUCAUUGCGCAGGCAUGAGAAUACUUUUGGAUUGAGCACACAUUUUGUUGAUCAUGCUGGAAAUCCGAUCCUAAGUUUUGUAGUCAGUGCAAGUUCUUUGAAUCUCUGUAAGAUACUUGAUGCACUUUAACCUUUCAAACAAUUGUUAUUUUAGUAAAGCCAAACAAUUGUUAUUU